GACGAACGCUGGCGGCGUGCUUAACACAUGCAAGUCGAACGGUAAGGCCCUUCGGGGUACGACGAGUGGCGAACGGGUGGAGUAACACGUGGGUGGAUCUGCCCUGCACUUCGGGAUAAGCUUGGGAAACUGGGUCUAAUACCGGAUAGGACCACGGUCUGCAUGGAUUGUGGUGGAAAGCUUUUGCGGUGUGGGAUGGGCCCGCGGCCUAUCAGCUUGUUGGUGGGGUGAUGGCCUACCAAGGCGACGACGGGUAGCCGGCCCUGAGAGGGUGUCCGGCCACACUGGGACUGAGAUACGGCCCA
rnacentral:rRNA from 1 species